CCUCCCACUCACAGGCAGGGUUUGGGACCUUUCCUUUUUACUUGGGGGCUUGGCUGACUUUUGAUUGCCCAAAGCAGUGAAACAGGGCAGAAUGGAUGCAUUAUGACUUCAAAGUCUAGGAAAUAAAAAGAACACAGUUUCUGCCUGGCUUGCUAUUUGGGAGAUGCUCACUCUGGGGACAACAACUAUCAUGUUGUGAGGAAGACCCAACAAUCCUGUGCAUAGACACUACUUGAGAGGCUUUCAUGGAGAGGAAGGGGCAUGCCGAGCGGACAGCCAGACCAACCACUAAGCAUGUGUGAGCGAGCCUUCAGGUGAUUCUGGCCUCCGGGCUUCAAGCUUCUCCUGACACCAAGUGAAGCAGAGGGUACCCAUCCACACUACACCCUGACCAAAACGCAGAUCUGUGGGCAAAAUCAAUGUGGUUGUUAUUGUGUUAAACCACUCAGUUCUUUAAGAAUGGAACAAGCCCUCUUCAGCCAUGGCCACAUCUUCUGUCCAUGAGUCUAACCAUCAUCCUCACCACCCUUGUCUGAUCCUUGAUGGUUUUGUCUCCUCCACCAGAAGCAAGGAAUCUCAUCUCAAUAACACCAAGUCUCACGCAGAAAGAGGCCUCCAUAAAUGAUCAUCCACAACAAUGAGGUCUAAUGAGAGCCAAGGAAAGAAAGAUAUUGUUGGAUCUAUCAUCAUAAGACUCAUGUGCUGGGACUCAGGGAGUGGCUACUGGCUGAUGAACAUCCCCAACCACCCCACGUGUAGCCGGCAGUUCCUGCUUUCUGUGGCUAUGGUCAGCACUGAGACAAGAGCUACGAGUGCUUGUGUGGUGACUGAUAAGCUCUAGCUCCACUCAGGCCCGAGGACUUGAUCAGAUGGCAGCGUGAGGCAUUCGGAGGGAAUCCUAUGUGAUAACGGCCGCAACACUGAGGUGACCCUUGGAAUUAGACAACAAAAAGGAAGCACCAGCACUGUGACCUGGGGAGCCUUCCUGGAGAGAUGUAGCCACUGCCAUUGCUGGUGGCCUUACUUCUGUCCCCCAAGAGAGAAGCAGGUCAGUGACUCUCCCCACCAAUAGAGGUCCAGCUUCAUCCCACACUGGCACAGCCCUGCUCCAGUGCUGCACUCAGACACAUCCUGGUGCCGGUCCAUCCCAGGAACUUUCUGAACUCCAGGUCCAACAUCCCUCAAACACCAGCAAAUCUGAUGCAUAAUGAAAACUCAGCAGGAAUGGCAGGGCAGAACGUGGUUCUCCAUGAGGGCCAGUGGGUGCUGUUCCUCCCCAGGCCCUACCCUUGUCAUCUGGAAAGUGGGUUCUUUUACAAAGGCAUCUGGAAGGAGGUUGGAAGCUGGGAAUGAGAAAUAAUUAAUUCCCUAGGAAAGGGAAGCUUGGAGAAAGGGGCUGGCUUCUGAAAUCAAAGUAGGGCCCACUAGCUUUCGGACUCAGUGACCUAAAAUCUAUCCUCCAAUUCCACUCCCUUCUCCAAGCUUUUUCAUUCCCAUGCUGCCCAGGAAAAAAGCUCAGGAUCCAGUUGAUCCCAGAGUUGGUGGCAUCCCAGUUCACUUUCAAGUUCUCUCCGGUAAUGCUUUGGUCAAUGGGCACAACAGCUUUGGCAGGCUCCAUCGCACCUGCUGCUCAGAACCCUGCCAGCACUACCCCAACCUCCCCCUAUCCAUAUGUUAACUGGGAACUAUUCCUUCAGGCAGCCAAGACAUUUACUGGGCACCUAUGAUGUGCUAGAUUCAAGUAGAUAAGGAUCAAACACAACCCAGCAUCUUGAGCUCAUGCUCCAAAUACUACAGACCAGCAGCCCAGUGAGGUCUGGAAAACAAGACUGAGGAGAAGACCCAGAGAACGUAAGGGAAUGGAUUUUCCAGGAUCCACCGGUCCUUCAUCACUUGUUCCAAACACCAUUCCUGUCUGCCAACAUGUGUGUCUGCAGCAGGAAUUAAGGAAUGAGAACUGCUCUUCUCUUUGUCAGAGAGAGAAUCUGAGUCUGCUGGGUCACUACGCAAGCCUGGAUUGCCACUCCAGAAACCCACAGGACUCCCUUUUUGGUUGCUGAUGGGUACUACAGACCCCACUGUCUGCCAUCCCAACUCUUUCCCACCGUGGUCUCCUUUGUCCCCAUCUCCCUACUCCAGCGUGUGACUCCAUGAGCACAACAAGCGGGGUAGAAUUGUUCUUUCAGGGAAAAUCAUACGGGGCCAUGAGACCAAAUGUUAUUCUUGUCCCUAUCUGGUAUUUCUUCUGAUCCAGACUCCAGAAAAAAGAAAAAGCUGAGGGGGUUUCCUUGUGCUUGAGGACUUUGCGCUGACAGCAGCUCCCUACGGGGAAGGUGAGGAGCAGCGUGUGGCCCCACCCUUCUGGCGACACCUCACAGAGAAGCCUCUUCUCAGGGGCUGCAGAGCUGGGCCACCUAGUAAUACAGAAGAGCCCUUCAGGGGACAGGGAAGAUUUGGGGAGAGAGAGAUAGGUCUAUGCAAGGGGUCUGUGGAAGAGACGGUCUGAUCAAAGGUGGCAUCGGGAGGAGGCUGCGGUUGUGCUCAAAGCCCAGAGUGCACAGGGGAGAAAGUUACAGUUUUGCUUAGAGAAAGGCAAGCUCUGUACCUGACUGAGCACCUGGAGUCUGCUUCAGGAACUGCAACCCAGCAUGGGAUGCCAAGAAGCAGAGGACAUGGAGAUGCUCAGCCCCGGGGCCCCACCCCGGUAAUUCCUCCCCCCUCCAAUCCUGCAGUCUGCCAAGCUGCCCUGCCUCUUUCAUGGCCCCUGGGGUGCAACUCCUGUGCAUCUACCUCUCUCUCUGCUCUCUGUGAAGCUCAGUUCACUUCACCCUAGGGGCUUACAACCUGCAGGAGCAGGAAAAGACCCAGCAGGUCAUCCCUGUGAGAGGAGCCAUUCCCCAUCCAGACCACAAGCCUAGGAAUUUCUCCAAGGACAUUGUGUUACUCAGGGUAAGCGCACCUUGCUCCACUGGUUCUUGCACACUUUAAUCCCGAGGUUUUGCAUCCCCCACAACCUCCUUCCUAUCCCUCCUUCUCAGCAUGACCCCUUCACUUGUCCCAGGGCUGUGGAGAAGGCAACCCCAUGAUGGUCCCUGGAGUCUUUAUGGAUUCCUUUCCUCUGCCCUGAGCUUGAAGAGGACGGCCAACCUGACUGCCUCUGUGAACCCCUUCAGGCUGCCAAGGAGGAGAGAACUGGCAAAGCCAGGGAUGGUGUGCAGUGUUGCUAACUGAGAGCAUCUUGGUGGGAGUGCACCCUUAGCUAGAAAACUGCAUGAGGUGUAACUUGCAGUUCAAAUGGAUGAGCAACGCAUCUCUCCUUACAAAGACCAUUACCAUAUCACCACCCAGAUAUGUGUGGGGGACCCAACAAAAAGGAAGACUUCUUUUAAGCACUAGGAGUGCAAGUUGAUGACAGGGCUACUGUCACUUGCCCCAAGCCAGAGAAUUUGAACCAACCAGCUCACAGAUGACACAAGACAAUCAGAAAAGCACAUCUCCAAUGAUAUCAUGAUACUAAAGAUUGGUUAUUGAUUAUUUGAAUUGACUACUGUGAUCCAGAUGACCUUAUUUUAGGAUGGUAUAUCCUUCAAACAGCUCCACCAGUGAAUUGGAUGUGACAGAACACAACACAUUCAUGGAUAUGAACAGCAAAAUCUAGCACGUUGAAAAAUAAGAUGAAAAGCAAAUGAAAGCUUAUUUUUCAUUUAUGACUGUCCCCAUGUCCAUCUGGGGCUCACAGCACCGCAGAAGCACAGGGGAGGGAAGAGCUGAAUGCACGUGCGGAAAUGAACAGCUGAAUGGUAGAUAGUGCAGGAGCCCAGGGACAACUUCGGGUCCUAGUAGUUAAAGGACGCUUUUGGGAGAAGCCAUCAAACUAAAGAAAUGGAGACCCAGGAAAUUCAGCCAUGAGGAGCUCCCCGGAGCCACAGGGUGUAAGCCAGAGCCAGCGAGAGAAUAACCAGAGAUAUUCACCACCAGUGGCAUGGGUGUGUGGCCUCAAAGGACAGUGCGUGGAAGGUCAAUUCCCUCUCACACCUGACAGGAACACUUGUCUUAUUAUGACACACAUGAGGAAGCAAAACGAUGACCUUCUAAUGCCUGUAGCAUCAGGAAGACUGGGCUGCUCUUGAUGGUACCUGUUUCCUUAAAAAGCUU
ensembl:lncRNA